rnacentral:rRNA from 1 species
CUUGUACACACCGCCCGUCACACCAUGGGAGCGGGUUCUGCCAGAAGUAGUUAGCCUAACCGCAAGGAGGGCGAUUACCACGGCAGGGUUCGCGACUGGGGUG